AUACGGAGGGUCCAAGCGUUAUCCGGAUUCAUUGGGUUUAAAGGGUCCGCAGGCGGGAAAAUAAGUCAGUGGUGAAAGCCUCCAGCUCAACUGUAGAACUGCCAUUGAAACUGUUUUUCUUGAGUAUAGAUGAAGUGGGCGGAAUAUAUCAUGUAGCGGUGAAAUGCAUAGAUAUGAUAUAGAACACCGAUUGCGAAGGCAGCUCACUAAACUAUUACUGACGCUCAGGGACGAAAGCGUGGGGAGCGAACAGGAUUAGAAACCCUGUAGUCC
rnacentral:rRNA from 1 species